rnacentral:rRNA from 1 species
CCAAGGAGUCCGACACGUGCGCGAGUCAUGGGGUCCUACGAAACCUAAAGGCGCAGCGAAAGCAACGGCGAGAUCCCCACCGAAGGUGGAAGGGGCGCAUCGUCCACCCGUCUCUGUACUGGGGAUGGCGUGUGAGCGCACGUGUCGGGACCCGAAAGAUGGUGAUCUAGGCCUGAGGGGGGCGAAGCCAGAGGAAACUCUGGUGGAGGUCCUAAGCGAUUCUGACGUGCAAAUCGAUCGUGUCACUUGGGCCUAGGGGCGAAAGACCAAUCGAACCAUCUAGUAGCUGGUUCCCUCCGAAGUUUCCCUCAGGACAGCUGGCGCUCGUUUGGGGCAGUUGCAUCCGGUAAAGCGAAUGAUUAGAGGUUCAUGGGGCCGAAACGGCCUCGUCCUAUUCUCAAACUAUAAAUCGGGUGCGAAACCGGGGAGUCUUGCUCUUUUGCGAGAAGCCCGGGUUAGAAUGCGAGUGCUGUGUGGGCCACUUUUG